UCCCAUCUGUUGUUCAGUAAUUUAUAUAUUAAAUGGCAAAUUUAGCCAACAACUAAGUGUAAAUUAUGGGUAAAUAGAUGGAAAAGGUAAUAUUUGAAAAUUCAGAUACGAAUACUCUCCUAAUGUCUGUCUCUGAAAAAUCCUCUGGGACAUUCCCUUGGAAAGGUUAUACACGGUUGUCCUACUGCUCUCAGGACAGGAGGUUUGCUCUGGAAUAUGAGUUUGAGUCUUCCAAGAAGAUGCCUUAACCAAGUGACUCUGCUAUCUGCUCCCUGGCAACAGACUUGGCACAACUCCAUGGAAAAGAUACUCCAUUUUCCUAGGUCCCAGAACCUAUCUAUCUAUCUAUCUAUCUAUCUAUCUAUCUAUCUAUCUAUCUAUCUAUCUAUCUAUCUAAUGUAUGUGUGUAUGUGUAUGUGUGUGUGCUUGAAAAGUAAGCUUAUGUUAAUGAGAGCCAGUGAAAGGGGAAACAAAUAUUUUGUUUUGUCAAAACAAAAUGAGUAUCUGCCACAAAUGUUGGUACAAACCUACGUUGGUGCCAAUUCCUCAACAGGGAGAGAAGAUAUGAUUGGCUGGCAACUCAAUAGCCAUUAUCAAGAAUCUUUCCUGGUCUGGGCUCCCUUUUUUGGGUCACCUCAUCUGCAACAGACUAUGAGACAGCUGCCUGUUACUCAGGCUUCUGAGUGAUGUAACACGACACCCAGCGUAUCCUGCUUUUGAAAGGAAACUUCGAUGGUGGUUGGCAAAUUACCAUUCACAGCUCUGGCUGAUGGAGUCACCGGAGAGGCGAGAGAGCCGCCGCCGCACCUGGUGUCUGUAAUUACAGGCUUUCACCGGAGGAAAGAAGGGAUGAAGCGGCCAAAUACAGCUGAGCGCAGAGACAGGGAGGGGUUGCCCAGGGCUGGACAGGAAAAGCCAGCAGCCGAGGAUGCUGUUCCGCUCCGCGCCGCGCCCCGCCGCCCCGCCCCACUCUGUACCCUCAUCUCCUUACUUGGGGCUUGUCUGUUUCCUUUUCUUUCUGUUUUUCCUCAUCUCAGAACUCUUUGUCCGACUUCCCGCAGCAGCGUGCUGUAAGGAAGAAAUCAAAGCUCUUGAGGCACCC